rnacentral:rRNA from 1 species
UACAUGGGGUGCAAACGUUGCUCGGAAUUAUUGGGCGUAAAGAGCUCGUAGGCGGUUUGUCGCGUCUGCUGUGAAAACGCGAGGCUCAACCUCGCGCCUGCAGUGGGUACGGGCAGACUAGAGUGCGGUAGGGGAGAUUGGAAUUCCUGGUGUAGCGGUGGAAUGCGCAGAUAUCAGGAGGAACACCGAUGGCGAAGGCAGAUCUCUGGGCCGUAACUGACGCUGAGGAGCGAAAGCGUGGGGAGCGAACAGG